GCCGGAGUGGCGGAAUCGGUAGACGCGCACGACUCAAAAUCGUGUUCCCUCGGGAGUGAGAGUUCAAGUCUCUCCUCCGGCACCA
rnacentral:tRNA from 1 species